rnacentral:tRNA from 1 species
GGAGAGAUGUUCGAGAGGUUUAAGGAGCACGCCUGGAAAGCGUGUGUUGGGGCAACUCAACCGGGGGUUCGAAUCCCCCUUUCUCCGCCA